AAGGAAGUGAACUUGAUGUGGCACCACUGAAAUUAGAAUGAAAAGGAAGCCAGCUGACAUGGGUCACCUAUGUUUAAGUAUUAUCUCAAACACGGAAAUGCCACAGCCACCACAUGGGAUAGCAUCUCCAGUUUAGAGGUCUGACUGUUUACUAUGUGCUUCCCACAACUUUUGCUGCCUUGGACCCAGUUCUGACUUGGCUGUUUGAGGGGAAGCAGUUGGUGAGUCAAGCAGACACUGUCAGCUGACUUAAUUGGCACCAGAGCUUCACCAACGUGAAGACGGACUCCUUGUGGAGGCACCAGCUGCCCUGCAGAGGUGGAGGAACUGAUGCUGUUGCCUUGUAAUGCUUGUUCUGAUGCCUGCUGCCACAUGUUCAAUCCCUAUCAUCACCUUCAGUGCCUGUGUCAAACAUGACCUCCUCCAGGUAGCCUCUCAGACUCUUGGGUUAGAAGUCUUUCCCCUCUGAACUCCCAUGGCAUUUUAUCUGUUCUUCUUCUACAAAACUUACUGCUGGCUACUUUCCGUUAGAGGUCUCUGUGCUCACAUCUUAUUCCUUUAUUAGACUGUAAGCUCCCUGUGGGCAGAAACUAGGUCUUAAUCAUACUGUGUCCUUAGAUCCUGGCAUAAUGUCAGUAGGUAAAUAUGUGUGGACCUGAAUUGAAUCAGCUGGUCAUCUGAUUUUAUAAACAAGAGGGGAAAUCUGGAUCGUAUAUGUAUGAUCUAUUUGAAACCACAGGUUCAUGGAAAUCUAACAGGUCUUUGGAAAUUAUCUAGAGGCCUCCUCAUUUUAUCGUUGUGAAACUGAAGCAUAGACUUCAAUGCCUUCUCAUGGUCACGUGUCUGGAGAAUCAUAUCUUGCACUUGGACUCAGGUUCCUGGACCUCCAUCCCAGGUGUCCUGCCCUGACAAAUGAGUGAGCGAGUGAGUGAGCAGACACGCCUUGGAAAGGGCCAGUAGGUCAUUCCCAGAACCACAGCUGGCUUUGGGAGUCAGCUUGCCCCUCACUCACUCACCCAGGAUGAUUUUGAAGUCAGAAGGGCUGAGCAAGUCUGAAUCACGUAGGGUCGGAUCUUCCGGAUCGAGUGACUGGUGGAGGCAGUGUGCGGCGGUCACGAUCCAGCUGGAGCCUGGGGAACAGAACACACGUCUCAUCGUCCUGCACUACUGGGUCUUGCCUCCCUCUGUCUUGAGCUGAGGAUCUUCAGGCUACUCCAGAGGACCCCUCAAGACCUUGAAAAUGGCCAUGCUUCUCUCCAUUGUAUUUUAUGGCCCCCAACUCAAAUGCUCAUAUGAUCCUAAUCUGAAGAUGAGGAUUUAAAUCUGUGAUUUUUACCUGCCUAUUCCAACCAAGGCCAGGACUGAACAUUGUAAACAGGAUUUCAGGGAUCCUUUAAGCCCAUGGCAUUGGUGAGAGCCAGAGAGCCCAAGGUGGGUGCACAGAAAGCCUGUGGUCAACUGGCUGCCUUCUCAGGCCUUGCUUCUCAAAGUGUGGUGCCUGGACCAGCAACAUUAGCAUCACUUGGAGGCUUCUUAGAAAUGAAGACUCUUAGGCCGGCCCCACCUCUGAUCCACUGAAUCAGAAUUUUCAUUUUAACAAGACUCUCCAGUAAUUUGUAUGCAUAUUAAAGUUUAAAAUUGAUGAAUCCGAAGCUACCUACACUGGCUGCACGUUAGAAUUACCUGGUGAAUGAAAAAAGAGUAAAUCAGUGUCUGGACCUAUAUCUAGACCAUUUAUGUCAUGGGGGUGGAGCCCAAGCACAGAUAAUGUUUUAAACAUUUCCUUAGUUAAUUCUACUGCU
rnacentral:lncRNA from 10 species